rnacentral:rRNA from 1 species
AUUGAACGCUGGCGGCAUGCCUUACACAUGCAAGUCGAACGGUAACAGGUCUUCGGAUGCUGACGAGUGGCGAACGGGUGAGUAAUACAUCGGAACGUGCCUAGUAGGGGGGGAUAACUACUCGAAAGAGUGGCUAAUACCGCAUGAGAUCUACGGAUGAAAGCAGGGGAUCGCAAGACCUUGUGCUACUAGAGCGGCCGAUGGCAGAUUAGGUAGUUGGUGGGAUAAAAGCUUACCAAGCCGACGAUCUGUAGCUGGUCUGAGAGGACGAUCAGCCACACUGGGAAUGGGACACGGCCCAGGCUCCUACGGGAGGCAGCAGUGGGGAAUGUUGGACAAUGGGCGAAAGCCUGAUCCAGCAAUGCCGCGUGCAGGAUGAAGGCCUUCGGGUUGUAAACUGCUUUUGUACGGAACGAAAAGCCCCGGGUUAAUACCCUGGGGUCAUGACGGUACCGUAAGAAUAAGCACCGGCUAACUACGUGCCAGCCGCCGCUGUAA